CGCAAGGAGAGCGGCAGACGGGUGAGUAACGCGUGGGAAUCUACCCAGCUCUACGGAAUAACUCAGGGAAACUUGUGCUAAUACCGUAUACGUCCGAUAGGAGAAAGAUUUAUCGGAGUUGGAUGAGCCCGCGUUGGAUUAGCUAGUUGGUGGGGUAAUGGCCUACCCAGGCGACGAUCCAUAGCUGGUCUGAGAGGAUGAUCAGCCACACUGGGACUGAGACACGGCCCAGACUCCUACGGGAGGCAGCAGUGGGGAAUAUUGGACAAUGGGCGAAAGCCUGAUCCAGCCAUGCCGCGUGAGUGAUGAAGGCCCUAGGG
rnacentral:rRNA from 1 species